CUGCAAGCCUCAUGUCCUUGGGUCUGCCGUGACCCUGUGCAUUACUACGGUGCUUGCAAGAAUAUUUUGAAAUGGUUUGAGGCCUUGCCCUGCUGCAUCCAGAGCAAGGUUAUAGAAACUUCAGACAAUU
ensembl:snoRNA